GGGCCCUUAGCUCAUCUGGUAGAGCGCCUCAUUUGCAAUGAGGAGGUAAGCGGUUCGAGUCCGCUAGGGUCCACCU
rnacentral:tRNA from 1 species